rnacentral:rRNA from 1 species
GAUGAACGCUAGCUACAGGCUUAACACAUGCAAGUCGAGGGGCAGCGCAGUGUAGCAAUACAUGGGCGGCGACCGGCGCACGGGUGCGUAACGCGUAUCCAACCUUCCCGUUACUCAGGGAUAGCCUUCCGAAAGGGAGAUUAAUACCUGAUGGUGUUCAAAUUCCGCAUGUUAUUUGAACUAAAGAUUUAUCGGUAACGGAUGGGGAUGCGUGACAUUAGGUAGAUGGCGGGGUAACGGCCCACCAUGCCUACGAUGUCUAGGGGUUCUGAGAGGAAGGUCCCCCCACACUGGAACUGAGACACGGUCCAGACUCCUACGGGAGGCAGCAGUGAGGAAUAUUGGUCAAUGGGCGAGAGCCUGAACCAGCCAAGUAGCGUGCAGGAUGACGGCCCUACGGGUUGUAAACUGCUUUUGCGGGAGAAUAACCGGCGCCACGGGUGGCGCCCCGCAUGUAUCCCGCGAAUAAGGACCGGCUAAUUCCGUGCCAGCAG